rnacentral:lncRNA from 10 species
AGUGGUGUCCCUACCUACACAGAUGUGAACACAAAGGAGAUUUUUCAGCUAAUAAGAUCCUCUGGUGUUUGUAGCACUAAGCAGGUAGGGGACAACUUCAGGAGAGGGCUCUGCUGGCAUCCCCAAACUCGCACUUGGAAUCAUAAUGGUGCUAUGAGACGAGCGAACACAGUAAGCUGGGGAGAUGAGUGAUUGCAUCUGAUGUUGGAGGACUAGAUCCUGCAGGAAGGUUAGCGGGGAACAUCCCCACGGUCACUGUUUGUUUGUUUACCUAACUUCAAAAUUCUCUCUGGAGCUGCUUAGACAAAGCCUGACUUA